rnacentral:rRNA from 1 species
AGCAGCCGCGGUAAUUCCAGCUCCAAUAGCGUAUAUUAAAGUUGUUGCAGUUAAAAAGCUCGUAGUUGAAUUUCGGAAUCAAUAUAUCGGUCGUGCCUUGGUACGUACUGGUAUCAUUGGUUUCUCCUUUCUGACGAACCAUGAUGUCAUUAAUUUGGUGUUAUGGGAAGUUAGGACUGUUACUUUGAAAAAAUUAGAGUGUUUAAAGCAGGCUUUAGCUUGAAUACAUUAGCAUGGAAUAAUGAAAUAGGACGUUCGAACCUAUUUUGUUGGUUUCUAGGAUCAACGUAAUGAUUAAUAGGGAUAGUUGGGGGCAUUAGUAUUCAAUUGUCAGAGGUGAAAUUCUUGGAUUUAUUGAAGACUAACUACUGCGAAAGCAUUUGCCAAGGAUGUUUCAUUAAUCAAGAACGAAGUUAGGGGAUCGAAGACGAUCAGAUACCGUCGUAGUCUUAACCAUAACUAUGCCGACUAGGGAUCGGAUGAUGUUAAUUUUUAAUGUACUCAUUCGGCGCCUUACGGG